rnacentral:rRNA from 1 species
UACAGAGGUCCCGAGCGUUGUUCGGAUUCACUGGGCGUAAAGGGUGCGUAGGCGGUCGGGUAAGUCUGAUGUGAAAUCUCACAGCUUAACUGUGAAACUGCAUUGGAUACUAUUCGGCUUGAGAGUUGGAGGGGGGACUGGAAUUCUUGGUGUAGCAGUGAAAUGCGUAGAUAUCAAGAGGAACACCAAUGGCGAAGGCAGCUUCUUGGUCCAUAUCUGACGUUCAGGCACGAAAGCGUGGGGAGCAAACAGG